rnacentral:rRNA from 1 species
UACGUAGGGCGCAAGCGUUAUCCGGAAUUAUUGGGCGUAAAGAGCUCGUAGGCGGUUUGUCGCGUCUGCUGUGAAAGACCGGGGCUCAACUCCGGUUCUGCAGUGGGUACGGGCAGACUAGAGUGCAGUAGGGGAGACUGGAAUUCCUGGUGUAGCGGUGAAAUGCGCAGAUAUCAGGAGGAACACCGAUGGCGAAGGCAGGUCUCUGGGCUGUAACUGACGCUGAGGAGCGAAAGCAUGGGGAGCGAACGGG